AGAUUCGUUUGGAGGCACUGUUGAGCACCGGCCUUGGCCCUGAUUCAGGGCUAUUGCUCAAUACUAACAGAGAACAGCAAGACAGCAAAGGCCACAGUUCUGCCGGGAAAUUUUUUCUGUCUGUUUCUUUUCUCCUUUCCUUUAUUCUACAACUACCCUAGCCCCCACACCCUUCUGUCCACGCCUGGGCAUCGCUGGGAUGACUCCUAAGGUAGCUAACAGCUACCUCAGAGAGAAGAGAAGAGGGAGCGGAUGGGUCUCUCAGAGGCUGGAGAGCUGGAGCUUGUGAAGUGCAGGCAGAGAUGACUACUGCUCUGCCUACCUGGUCUGUGUGUCCCUGCUGGUGAGGAAGUUGAAGUUUUGCUUCUUCUGGAAACCCCACUCACUUGGCCUCGGGCUGCUGUAAUGUGUAGCCUUCCCUCCCUCUCCUGGGCAGUCUGUCACCAGCAGCAACCCCAGGGCUCUUCUCAGAGAACACCACUCUGGCAAACUCGAGAUUCCUAGCUUCACAGCAGAAAAGAAUUUCAGAACUAGACACUGUAAAGGACGGUUCAGGUUUAUUAAAAGAGGUGUGUGUGUGUGUGUGUGUGUGUGUGUGUGUGUGUGUGUGUGUUUUGAAAGAGGGUUUCUCUGUGAAGCUCUGGCUGUCCUGGUCUCUGUAGUCCAUGCUGGCCUUAAACUCAGAGAUCUGUCUACCUCUGCCUCCCUAAUACUGGGAUUAAAGGUACUCAUUGUUCCACCACU
rnacentral:lncRNA from 1 species